rnacentral:lncRNA from 1 species
GAAACACAAUAAACUAUAAUGAACAUGAAAAGAUUGGUACGCUUUUCAGAGCAUGUUUCAUUUUUCAUCUUUAAUGGAUCUUUUUGUAGGGUUCUCACAACCAAUUGAAAGAGAAUAAAACAUUCUCUUGCUUCAUAACCAAAUUACUGCUCACACUUCCAGCAACCUUUGGAAGGGGAUUCCUGGCUAUUGAUGUCCCUGGAAAGAGAGUGGUAGAAGAAAAGAAAUUGAAGACAUGGAAGAAAGAUGAAAACACUGACUACUAAAUACCUAUGUGUGGUUACUGAGUGUGGUAUGCUUGGACACCGAGCUCCCCCACCCAUCAGAUGUCACAAAGAGUCCUUUUUGUCUUGGAUAAUUUCAAAACAAACUGACCUCCCCAGUAGUUUCUUUGGUGAACACCCCAUGGAUGGCUUGCAGAGCAUUUUGCACUUUGAGAUGGCGUGUGUAUCCCUGGGUCUGUGAAAGGCCACUGCUGCAGGGUGGGGAGACAAUAGUCGGCUCUGGAAAGUCUGUGGGAAUUCCUGAGGGAGCUGCAAGUUACUAUGAAUAGCCUGGCAUUCGAAGAAGAUUUGCAGAGGAGUCUCCUGCUGUGCCCUCUAGCUCUCUACUUGAUGGACACAAACCCAGGGCCUGAGAGGUUGGGAAGGGCUCUGGGAGGACUCCCAUUAGGGGACAGGCUUUCUUGUGUCCAGAUUCCACUUGGGUGACCCUGGGGAGAGAGACUGCUGGCUCUUUUCCGGAGCCACAAUGCUCCAUUUACAAGCUGCAAUUAGUCGCAAGCAAAAUUUGUGCAUCCACUACUAACUGUCAGCUCAAGAGGUUGAAAGUUCAGUCCUGGGGAGGUCAGGACGUCUUCCAAGGGACUGAUGACUCUGCUUACAGCCUCCCCUCCUCCAG